rnacentral:rRNA from 1 species
CAGUAGCCGCGGGAAUACGUAGGGUGCAAGCGUUAAUCGGAAUUACUGGGCGUAAAGCGUGCGCAGGCGGUUAUAUAAGACAGAUGUGAAAUCCCCGGGCUCAACCUGGGAACUGCAUUUGUGACUGUAUAGCUAGAGUACGGCAGAGGGGGAUGGAAUUCCGCGUGUAGCAGUGAAAUGCGUAGAUAUGCGGAGGAACACCGAUGGCGAAGGCAAUCCCCUGGGCCUGUACUGACGCUCAUGCACGAAAGCGUGGGGAGCAAACAGGAUUAGAUACCCGAGUAGUCCCUGUCUCUUAUAC